ensembl:lncRNA
CUGCCACUGAUGCGGUGGGCCGUCCCCCUAUGCGCCUCCACUGGCAUCGUGUUACAGUAGCAGUUUAGCUCGAGCUGAGGCGCAGAGCGGAGGACGCUGAGUGGAUACGGUGAAACACCGGUUGGAACUAUUAGCUGGCCGGCGAGCGAGGACUGCGUUUAAAGCGUCCGUGGAGGCGAACUAACUGGACUUAAACCCCGCGACAUUUCUUUUUUUUGCGCCGAAUGUCUUGAAAAAAGCCAUAGCCUGGUCUACCCAAAGACCACACAGACACAGUGUGCACGACUUGGAAUAAUCAGCCACUCUUCACGAGAGAGAGCCGUUUGGAAAAAGCACUCGCACGCUGUCGUACGAAGGGACCCGGAGAGGAAUAUUCACCACAGAUAGAGAGAGACAGAAAAGGAGAGAUUCAAGGAGAGGAACACGGGAAACUCCAACGAUGCGAUUGGAAUGAGGUAGUCGGUGCAGAAUUUGCCAGCGCGCCGUGGAGUUGUGACUGAUGGAAGGCUGUUGUCAUCGGUAGGCGGUGGGCUGCGACAGGUAGAGGCUCCGGGGGAGACUCGACAAAGGCACGGGGGAUAGCUCUCGCGCCUCCACCGCGCUGUCAAACGUCGCGCUUCAUCCCAGCACCUGGGAUCAGACGCGAUCCGUACGCGACUCGUUUUAACGUCAUCUAUUUGCCUUCGAACAGUUUUAAGUAAAGCAAGCCACAGGUCAACCAGGACACACACAAGCAGGGGGCUUUCCUUGGCCCAGAUCGGAUCGAAUCGGUCGGGUCGAGGUUCGCUCGUUUCUUCUGCGGACAGUUCAGUCAAGGACGCGGCUGGAGUAGGGGAGGUCCUCGAGCCUGAUUUGAAGAAGUUGGACAGAAGGACAUGUAUCUGAUAUCGACCUCACAUGCCCCCGACUAAUCAACGCUUACAUUCCACCGGGCCCGUACCAUUGAUAAAGGCUGCCACGCGCACCGUCCCACGCCCGUGAGUUACUGCCCCAGUCCGCGAAGAGAAUGGCGGGGCUGGCGUGCUGGAAGUAUUACCUUUGGAUCGCUAUCGUCAUGGGCCGGACGGCGACACCUCUGGCCAAGUCCCUGGAGACUAUUAUAUGGAGCUCACAGAACCCCAACAUGCAUAUGGAAACACACGCGGCGGCUCUCUGUGUGGAGGAAUGCUGCGGCGGUGAUGCCACUUUCAUGAUAAUCCGACAGGCGAGCUCAGAGCUGUUUGGGCUGCGUCCUCCACCCUGGCUCGGCUAAUAUUUACCUCAUGACCUGUAGCGAACACGCUCUGUUUGCGGCAGCCCAGGGGAGAGGAAAAACCCCAAGAUGGGGGUAGGGGGGGGGAAGAGACAGAAAACACACCGGUGCAGGGGUAGAAAAAACCAAAAAACCACGCCACCACCCCUCUCCACCUCAGUGAGUGGAGGAACCUGCUGAGGGCGCACGGUGGAGGCAGCAGCUCCCUCUGAUUUCCCCCUCCACCCACCUCAGCGAUGCCCCCACCCUGAACGGGGCAGCGUUCAGCAGGGUACAUGCAGCCGCCUCACCGAGACGACAGCCUGGAUGGAAUGACAUGGUUCCUAGCAGCUCUGUGUUUGUGUUGUGUGUGUUUGCUGCUGUUUCAUUCAUAAUAUUUUUUCUGAUUAAUAAUUCAGUAGUACCAUUAUUUUUAUUUUUGCUGUUAGGAUUGUUGAUGGUAAAUAU